AUAAGCGGAGGAAAAGAAACCAACAGGGAUUGCCUUAGUAACGGCGAGUGAAGCGGCAACAGCUCAAAUUUGAAAUCUGGCCCCUCCAUCGGGGUCCGAGUUGUACUUUGUAGAGGGUGCUCUGGCGCUGGCAGUGGCCCAAGUUCCUUGGAACAGGACGUCAUGGAGGGUGAGAAUCCCGUACAUGGCCGCGCAGCCUCGCCAUGUAAAGCCCCUUCGACGAGUCGAGUUGUUUGGGAAUGCAGCUCUAAAUGGGAGGUAAAUUUCUUCUAAAGCUAAAUACUAGCCAGAGACCGAUAGCGCACAAGUAGAGUGAUCGAAAGAUGAAAAGCACUUUGGAAAGAGAGUCAAAAAGCACGUGAAAUUGUUGAAAGGGAAGCGCUCACAGCCAGAUGUGCCCGUGGCGUCUCAUCUGGACAUUUGUCCAGUGUACUCUCCCACGGGCAGGCCAGCAUCGGUCUGGGCGGUUGGAUAAAGGCAUUGGGAAUGUAGCUCCCCCUGGGGAGCGUUAUAGCCCGGUGUGCAAUGCAGCCAGCUCGGACCGAGGCCUGCGCGCAUGCUAGGAUGCUGGCGUAAUGGCUGUGAGCGGCCCGUCUUGAAACACGGACCAAGGAGUCUAACAUCCAUGCGAGUGUUUGGGUGUCAAUCCCAGGUGCACAAUGAAAGUGAAUGGAGGUGGGAACCCUCUCUGAGGGCGCACCAUCGACCGAUCCUGAUGUCUUCGGAUGGAUUUGAGUAGGAGCAUGGCUGUUAGGACCCGAAAGAUGGUGAACUAUGCCUGAAUAGGGUGAAGCCAGAGGAAACUCUGGUGGAGGCUCGCAGCGGUUCUGACGUGCAAAUCGAUCGUCGAAUUUGGGCAUAGGGGCGAAAGACUAAUCGAACCAUCUAGUAGCUGGGUUCCUGCCGAGUUCCCCCC
rnacentral:rRNA from 1 species